rnacentral:rRNA from 1 species
UACAGAGGUCUCAAGCGUUGUUUCGGAUUCAUUGGGCGUAAAGGGUGCGUAGGCGGCGCGGUAAGUCGGGUGUGAAAUCUUGGAGCUUAACUCCGAAACUGCAUUCGAUACUGCCGUGCUUGAGGACUGGAGAGGAGACUGGAAUUUACGGUGUAGCGGUGAAAUGCGUAGAUAUCGUAAGGAAGACCAGUGGCGAAGGCGGGUCUCUGGACAGUUCCUGACGCUGAGGCACGAAGGCCAGGGGAGCAAACGGG